AAUUUGCGUGAGCGGUAGUAGCGACAUCCUUUUUGUGCCAGCGGUAUUGCGCAAAAAGAUAUAGCGGAUAACGCGGCCGCCU
rnacentral:sRNA from 1 species